rnacentral:lncRNA from 1 species
AUGGACCCCACCAAGAGCCCCCUGGGUGCCUGUGAUCUGCGGAGUAAAUGGGGGGAAGAGUUAAAGUACGAAUGGGGAGACGGUCCAGCCAGUCUCCCAGCCCCCGCUUGCCCCUCCAAGUCCAUUAGCACAGGCAGCAGGGGGCGGUCCUCACUUCCUGUUCCUCCUCCUCCAGGACACAGCUUCCCUUCCCCAGCUGAGGGAAUCACCGGCGGCUGGAAAAGCACUGUAGGUGACACCGAGCCCACAGUGGGCUUGUCCUUGGGGACUCCAAGAGAAAGCCACAAGGAGAAGGCCAGAGAUAAGCCAGCCUCCCCGGUCCCCGUAUCCGUGCCACACAGAUGUUCAGCAGUGCCCACUGCAUGGGAUUUAAAAGCAAGGACCGGGCCAAACCCAUUUUAUCAGAGGAGACAAGAGAUGCUACAGAGGAAGAUGUACGAGUGGCCAAUGGCUAUGUGAAGAAGUGCUCAACACAAUUAGCCACCGGA